GGGAGUCGGCCUCCCGAAAUCGGCUUGCAGGAGCAGAUAUCAAACCGCCCGGUGCGGCUGCGUUCAAAAGACGUGGUCGUGAGCGACUGUGGAAAAGACAUCAUGAAGAUGUCAGGU
rnacentral:ncRNA from 1 species